AGCACUUGGGCAGGCUACAUCAUAUUUUGGUGCCUUUGCUUUCCUUACAGGUUAGCUCCUGUUUGUUAAAAUGCUGCUAAUGAGAUCAACAUCAUGAAGUUAAUUUCUAUAACCCUAUUCCAUAGCUGCAAACUACGAAGACAUCUUGAAAACAUGAAACGAUCAGAAGAGAGGUCAGAUAAGGUGCCUUAGCCCCUGGAUUUUGGAGCUGAACUCAAGUUCUUUGUCAAGCUAAGCUACAGAAGACGUUGCUCUCAGUCUCUCUCAGCUGGAAGGAGCAGGUGACAGUUGUGGUUCACAUCCCACCUCUGGGUGACUUUGCUGGCAGGGCAGGGCUCUCCUGGAUCUGCUGUGCAACAGGGUAGGAGGGGAAGUGGCUGCAACAAAAGAUUGUGGGUUCUGCUGACCUUCAUUUGGCUCAGUCACUAGAAGAACAAACAUGAUCAUCAAAUAGAUGCUCUUGACUGAUAUGUAUUGAGAAGAGUCUUGG
rnacentral:lncRNA from 1 species